rnacentral:rRNA from 1 species
UGGGGAAUAUUGGACAAUGGGCGCAAGCCUGAUCCAGCCAUGCCGCGUGAGUGAUGAAGGCCCUAGGGUUGUAAAACUCUUUCGUGGGGGACGAUAAUGACGGUACCCCAAGAAGAAGCUCCGGCUAACUUCGUGCCAGCAGCCGCGGUAAUACGAAGGGGGCUAGCGUUGUUCGGAUUUACUGGGCGUAAAGCGCGUGUAGGCGGGCUGGAAAGUUGGGGGUGAAAUCCCGAGGCUCAACCUCGGAACUGCCUCCAAAACUUCCAGCCUGGACUCAAGUAGAGGCAAGUGGAAUUGCGAGUGUAGAGGUGAAAUUCGUAGAUAUUCGCAGGAACACCAGUGGCGAAGGCGACUUGCUGGACUUGUAGUGACGCUGAGGUACGAAAGCGUGGGGAGCAAACAGGAUUAGAUACCCUCGUAGUCCCUGAGCGGGCUGGCAAGGCGCAU